ensembl:lincRNA
GAACUGUUUACUCUCUAUUCCAGAGAAAGGUCUGACUUUGCUUUAAGGAGAACAAGGUAUACCUUCCCCUUCCCACGAGGACUUGCUGAUUUCAGACGGUUUCACAAACAUCCUUGCUGCUAUGGAAGGCAGAGCUGACACUCCUUUUCUUAGGUGCUUAUUUCAUGCGUUUUGAAAGAAGAAUGGUAUAGCUUGGAGCCCAGAGCCUCAAUCGAUCACAAGAAGACCCCGUUCAAUCGACCGAGUGCUUCCUGCUGCUGUUUCCAGAAGCAGAGACUCAGCUGAAAGCAAGAUGUGCCAACAUCUAUCAAAGGAGCAGGCAGCAGGGAGACCGGAAAAACAAUGGAGGAGCCAAGAGCAAGGAGCCCGUGUUUUGAGCAUUCAUAACAAUGGAGAGACAGAAAGUGACUUUCUGUUCAGAGCGCUUCCUUCAUCUGCUGCCAUGAUCUAUCAGGACCAAUGCCAGAAGGCUUCUGAAUCAAUACUGAGGACAAAGCUUACUUCAUACAGGACUACCAGAAGAAAGCAGCUCUGAUCUGAAUGCACGUGGGUCCCUGAUGAUCUUCUGAUAUCUUCUGGUUCAUUUCUUCCCUCUUUAUGCAUAAAGCUCUACAGACAAGUCAACAAGUAUCUGCAGUUGGCUCCAUCCCUGGCUCACUCCCACCAAAACUCCUCUUCUUAAACAUACUCACAGCCAAAAAAGAGAUCAUCAUCUUGACCAGACACUAGGGAAAAGGGAGGCAAAAAGGAAAAACUGAGUUCAAAGACUAGGGCUGAGUGGGAUGGGUUUGAGGUUUGGAUCGGAUCCAGUUCUCUGAUUUUGGGACUCAUUCUCAGGGACUAAGACAUGAGUCCUGGGAAUUCCCAGAGAGAACAGUAGAAUUGUCUCACUCUUUCAGAGGGCACCCUAAGAAGGACAUCAUGCAGCUGGGCAGUGUCAGGUGAGGCAGACCCUCAGAAACCAGUGGUCCAGGGAAGAUUUUCUGUAGUUGGCUGCUACUCUACUGGGGUGACUGGUCAUGGAGAAUUUCGACCGAAGAGGAGGAAGGGAUUUUCUUAAAGAUCACCCCACCCUGCCCUUCUAUUUACAGACAAGAACAAGGGAAAUCACUCUUAAAACAUCUUAUCCAAAAUUGAAUAUCAAAUAAUCACUCUUAUACCUCCUAUUCAGUCAAGGCCUAGGGAAGAAGUAAAUUAAACAGUUACCUAUGUGUGCCUUCGCAGACCUAAAUAAAUAUCCAAUGCUUCCUACCAUGCAGCCUCCAACUAAUUGUGUGGAAGGCAAAGGUUGAGAGAAGAGAAAGUGAAAUGAGAGAGAGCAGAAGACAGAAGACCAAAGAAAGAACACACAGAAUACUAUACAGACAUUAAAAUGAAUAUAGAUGUAUAGAUAUAUAUGUUAGAAGUAACACAUACAUUAAACAAUUAAAAUAUGUCCCUGAAAGAAAUAAGACAAUUACUCUAAAAGAAUUGGACACCCUCUCUCAUGACCUCCUUCUCUCUUUUGGUGUGAUAUUGUUUAUAUAGAGAGAGUGAUGCACAGAGAAAGAGAGCAAACUAAGGAGGAGGAUAAGUCAAUAGAUGGGCAAACAGAUGGAGAAACAGGCAUUCCAACAGAUAAAUAAGAAGUUAUUAUCAGCUGAGACCUGUCCAUGAGACAGUUUUCUUAAUCUUUGCAAUGAUGUUGGAAACAUGGAGAACCAGAGUCCAUAAAGCUACUAGGUAGCAAACCCUAUAGGUGAGUCCAGGUGCCUCUGACUCCAGCUUCCCGAUGAUGGCUUCGCCGUGAUGGCACUUAACAUAAAGAGGCUAAAAGCAUUUCAAGGUUAAAAAUCCUUCCUCAAGAAACCCAAAGGAUAAUGGAACUCAAGGGGCGGAAGGGAAUAAAUAAAGUAAGUGAAAGAACAAAACAAGAAGACAGGGAAACAAACAUCCCCCAAGAGGCCUCCACGGUCAGCCUGACUUCAUCCUGCAGCUCAAGGGGGCAUCUGUCUCAGAGGGAAAACCAAGUUUCUUCCCACACAUACAGAGUGGCUGAGAGAGUCUGGGUCUACCAACCACUGUGCAUCGAACGUCUCCUCUAUCUGUUCUGCUUUUGAUUGUUCUGUUAAGGAUCAAAUCCAGGAUCUUAGGUCUGCUCUUCAAGAACUCUUCCACUGAGCUACAAUCCCCAGUCCAUCCCUCCUGUUUUAAUUUGGAUCAGUUGAGACCUCAGCACAAAAGCAUAAACACCUUCUAAUUUCUCUACUCUGGGAGUCCUGGGAAUCAAACUCAGCUCAUCAAGCUUGGUGACAAGCACCUUUACCCAUGGACUCCUCUCACCAUCCUGUAUUUGUACUUAUGAAAAUUUAUAAUGACACAAAUGUUGUAGGGCUUAAGGAAAUUCACUGUUAUAACAUCUUAUCCAAAAUUAAAUAUCAAAUAAUUACUCUUACAUCUCCUAUGCAGUCAAGCUUCAACUCAUCUUUAUUUGAAAACUGUGUGGGUAGACUGUUUGGGAUGAAAGCUCUAUGCUGUUUAACCAUCUGCUGUAGGUCUCUUGGUCUUAGCAUCGAGGUUGUGGUUAAAUGACACAUAUUUUACAUUUAAAUAUUUGAAAACAUGACCAUCAUUGUUGAGAAACCUCUCGGUCGAUUUCUCUGGCAAGUUUUUUGUCUAUCUUUCCCAUAGAAUAACCUUUGAUCAUACACAAAAUGCUCAUUUCAAUAGCUUUAGUAGCAUAAGAAAUGAGACUCAAACUGCCAGAAUAUAUCCACUAGAGGCAAUCUAUGAAAGCUAGCUACUUCAUGGUGUAGAAGAGGAACCUGGGACCCAAGAGAAAGUCUCUUCCUGGAAUAAACAAUAGUGCCUAUCUUGGGCUCUAUAAUGCUUAGGACAAACUCGUCAGUGAGCAACACAAGGCUGGAUGGCUGUAAGUGUCAGGAUACUUCAUCUUCCUUGGGUGUUACUCUGCUAUUGCAAUGCUAAGGUCAACAUGGCAUCCUGCCUGGUAUCAUAGCAUGGGCCAAAAACCCAUAGCUGGAUAAGUCAUAGACUUUGGGAGAACCAAGUACUAUUAUCAUGCUAAAUGGGCAUAGUAACAAACUGUAUCCUAAGUUCUUGUCUUUAUACCCAUAGAUCAGAGAGAGCAUCUCAUCAGAGAAGCUUCUUUUGCAGCAAAUGCAAGUUAAUAAAGAAAACCACAACUAAUCAAGGUACAGAGAAUAGGAGACUUUGGAGUGCUUAUCUCUAAAUGGGACUCUGCAUCACAAUCCCUCCCCCAAGAAUUAGGGUCAUC